ensembl:lncRNA
AUGAGAAGACCGCUACGUGAGCGAUCCGGUUCAAAGUCACCUUUGCAGGGGGGAUCAAAAAGAAACCCUGUCUGCUGCGCAGCCCACCAUUCCUCUACGUGGCACAGCUUCUCUCCAGCUACUUCUUGGAGUUCGAUGUGUCACCUGGUGGCAGCAGGGAGCGUCUGUUUUACACCUGUUUUCAUCCUGCCUGGAUUCCGGAUAGGGCUCAUUUGUCACAACUGUGAUCUCCUGCGGGAGGCCCUUUCUCCAGGUGGAACGAGACUCCUUCUUCGCUAUGUCCUGUUCUGGUUGCUGCUGGUACGUGACUCCAGUCUCCUCCGGGAUACCCUCGCUGGGAAGACCUCCCUGUGCCCCCUUGUCAAGAGGCGACCCAAGUUCCACCUUUACCCUGAAGCCUGGUGAGGGGGUUGGAGCACCUGCUCAUCCCAGCGUUUUGUACCCUCUGUUCAACAAGGCAUAAGAACGCAGUUCCCUGUUCACAAUGCUCGUGUGUUUCCAUUAAUCAAUAUGGUUGGUGAGAAAGUUAACAGCCACCAAUACUAAAGCAAACGGAGAGACCACACAUCUGGGAGCUGCAGCAGGCUUCCUGAAGACACAAGCCUGCUCACAGGCCGACCGCCGGGCAGCGUGUGCAGAACGGCGGGGAUGGAGCUGUCCAAGGAGACGCUGGCUUUACAAACAAGCUUGGUGUAUGAAGGAAAACAGCAGAUGUUUGCCUAUGUCUAAUUGGCUUGACCUGUGACAUGUUCGUCACGGUGACAAACGUGCCAUCCCUGGUGACAAGGAAGGCUGGAGAAACCAGGAUGUUCCGCCGAGAAACCUCUUAACUGGGCUCAGAUGUGGGCCGUGCUUCUGUAUGCGGAAUGCCGGUGUCCUCCCAGAAAGCACACUGUAGACCUGCGUUCAGACGCUGGAGUCCCACAGUCUGGGACGAUUCAGAUUUCACCAAAUACCCAAGGAUGUAAACAUUCCUUAAUUUCCCGUCAUCCCGUAGCCAAAUACUGGGCAGACAACUUUAAAUGGUUAGGUGAGUUGUUGUUUUCAAGUGGGGGGAGGUGAUGUAAGGCUCCGGGUUUGGAGGUGGGGGAGGCGUGUCCCCACAUACCCACCAGAGAAGAGAGGAAGCUGGGACUGAUGUCGUGGUGUCCAUCAUCUCCGUGUCUUGCUAGGAGGGGUGCGAUGUGAAGAGCGGGGGAUCCAAGGGGAGGCUGUGGACUCAGUCCACGCCCACAAAGAGCUGACAGUGUGGCGGAGAAGGUGUCGGGGACCUGCCCUUCUGAGAGCAGUGACUUCACAAAGCCGGGGUGCUAGAACGCAGACAGGGCGUGUCAGCAGAGCGGUGCCCUCCAAGUCCUCAGAACCAGUCCCAGAGCCUUUGAAUGCCACAGCGUCCGGACCGAACCCCAGACCCACUGAAACAGGAUGUCUGGUGGAGGACACAGAGCGCAGAAACGUUGAGUGUGAUUUCAAGGCACGGCCAAGUUGGACAACGGUGGCAAGGGUCAGAGGGCAUCUGGCCCUGCUAUCCGAUGGUAACCAAAUGGGUAGUUUAUAAAUGAGGGCUGAGGAGAAAGGUGCUUCCCCUUCGUCUAAACUUAGAGUGGGCGCACAGGGGCAAGACACAUGAGUCUGCUGCUUACGCCUGGCCUGGGUGCCAUGGUGCCCGCUGAGUGGGGGUCGUGGGCAGUGGGUUGGUGGAAUUUGGGGAGCAUAAUUCAUGCCACCUGACACUGACACUUCCUGUUCUUAGGUAUAACUUUGUGUCCCCCCUCCACCACCGUGUUCUGAAGCUUGAUAAAUUAGGAAGAAAUAUAGCCUCCAUUUCAAAAUAAAUUUUUUUUGGAUCAAAGGAGGGUGUUUUUC